ACACAAUGCAAGUCGAACGGAAACGAGUUAUCUGAACCUUCGGGGAACGAUAACGGCGUCGAGCGG
rnacentral:rRNA from 1 species